rnacentral:lncRNA from 1 species
AAUCUAAUAAAUAUCAUGGCUGGAGGCAUCAGAAGAGUCAGAGAUAUGACGAGGAGUCUCAGGAUCAAAGCCACGGGCACGUCCUCAACCACAUCUACCUCGGCCACGGGUAGAAGUACCGACACGAGCAGAAGGGUGAGAAGGUCCUGGAGCCUGGGAAGCUAUGGGCUGUGCUAGGAGAGAAAGUCUGAUAGUGUCCAAUUGUUCCAAAGCUCUCGUCAAGGAUUGCAUCAGGAUACCAAUCUGAAUAGAGACAGUCUCACUAAAGCCCCUAAUGUCUCUCUCCAAAAAAUCAAAGCCACUCUGCAAAACACCUCGAAGCCUAGCCACCUCUGCAG